UUUAUUACCAACAUCGUUGGCAUCCCUGAGUAUGAGAGUUCAGAAGAAACUUAGAGGCUAUUGUCUGAUUCAAUCCUUGCAGCUUACAAAAAGAAAUGUGGGGAGCAGUCACUGUGUGACUAGCCUGAGGUCACUCAGGAAGUUAGAGGCAGAACUGCAGCCAGGGUCACCUCUCUUUACUGCUACUAGUGUGCUCUUUCUACUGCACCCUGAUCAUAAAACAUCUCCCAACCCAGGAACAAGGUCUACCGCAUAGGUGGUCACAGCAGCAUGAUCACUAUCUCAGUCAUCUGUACUCCUCCUUUGCUUUGACCAAAGACACAGGAAGGGACCUUUUGCCCCACAUAAAACACCUCUCAGAGGCUUGGCAACAACAACAGAUAAUAGAGAGCAUUGACCUAAGACCAACAUUUCAACCAUGGUGUCAAAACAAUAUUUUAUUUCAGCAAAGAAAAACUAUGUCACAAGUGGAUUAUUAUUACUAAUAAUCAGACUAGUGGUACUUGCGAAUGACUUGGUUUCAUACUCACACUUGGACAACUAUGCACACUGAGUAUAACUGACCUUAUGAGAACAUCAUUCUCACUAAGAUUAUGAUGUGCUUUCUCACGUGAGAACUGUACAUAAUAUUGUGUGUACCCUUGGGAGGAUGUCCUGCCUGUGAUGUUGUCUUUCAGGGGAAGAAGAAUGGUUGAGAAUUGAGGGUAUAUUAAACAUUUACUCCUCCAGAUUUUUCAAGAUUUCUGUUAAGCCAGAUCAGAAGAAAGCCAUCUAUUUGGAUUGCAUCACUCUAACCUGGAAAUACCAAUAUUUUCUAAGCAUGGCAAGUGUUUCCAAGCAUUCAGAAGUGGAGAGUGUGGGAAAUCCACUGCAGAAUGAGGUCUGCUUGUCAUCCUCUCAGUCUCAACUGCUCUCCCUCCUUCAUCGCUCUCUGUUUCAUUGGUGAGUAUAGAAGAUCAGGCAUUUUUAUAUGAAAUGAAAAUUGAUGGAACUAAGGUGUUGAUUUGAAUAUCCAACCGACCAUUUAUUGAGUGUCCAUUACAAGUUAAAUUGUGUUGUAGAGAACAGCUCAGGAAAUGAAUGCUUGACAUUGAUGUACAUAACAAAAAUACAAACAUACCAUUAAAAAAUCAGACCUCUUAUGAGCAUCCAGAUUCUCAUGUAAGUUUUGUGAAGCUCUUUCAAAAUGAGAAUGUAAAAUUUCAAAAAAAACAUCAUUUUCACAAGUCAUUCUUGAGACAGAAAAGUGGAAAUAGAAGUUCAUAUAUGGAUGUUUCACUAGCUCAAAUCUUAUGUACAGUUUUUAAUCAAUUGACACCCAUAUAAUUCUUAGUUUUAUAUACUGAUAGUCAUUAGAAAUUACAAAUUUUAAAAAAUAUUCAUGUCUCAUUCUACGAAUCAAUCUAAAAAUUGCAUUCAUUUGGUUAUAUUUCUUCAUUUUACCUGGCCUUGAAUACUUCUUUCCUGCCCAGCAUUAAAUUUAAUUAAUGUCUAAUUUGUUUACUUGGUUUAGUUAUUUUGGCCAUGUUCAGUACACUUGUUAUGAAGCAGGCAUGUAGGAAUGUUGACAAGUUUAUGGUCCUCACUCUUCCAAAUCCCUAAUGGCGGCACCCCAACAGACACAUACCACAAUGUAAACACAUACACACACACACAAUCACACCCACCCAUACUCACCCACGUACACACAGACACACACACACACUCCAGUGGAUCAACACAUAAAACACUCCACAGGCAGACAUCGUACAGCAGGGAUCUCUUAGUGCACUACACACUUCUGUAAAUUAUCAGGACUCUUCAAUUGAGGUGAGUCUACAGAGAUUUCAAAGGCUAUUUGAGUGCUAAGCUAUCUAACUAGUGGUUGGACACUAUUUAAAUAAUGCAUUAAACACAACUCUUGAGGCUCUGAAGAAUUUCUGUGCUUUCCAAUGAACCAGGAGUUACAAGGUUCUGAAAGCCACAACUGUGUUACAUCCUUUAAUAGAUAAAGCAAAGCUGAUUUUAAUGUGAAUAUACUUUAUAGUUAUUUCUAUUCCUGUUAAUUUUUGUUUGCUUGUAAUACACAUUUUUAUGUAACUGGGAGUAAGGAACAUCUUAGGAAAAAUAAAACAAAAAAUAAAAUUUCGCUGUUUACACUGUGCCUUGGUCCAGUAACCCUGCACUGCACAUAUACACUUUAAAUUGGUGUCUUGGGGAACCACUUUGGUAUUUCUUUUUUUUUCGUUUAUGUUGUAAACCUUUCUU
rnacentral:lncRNA from 1 species